CGCCGCCAUUCCGCACCAGGAGGCACCUUGGCCACCCCAGCAUGGAUGGCCUGAGCAGCUCAGAUGUUGUUUUCCCAACCCUUCUUGCAUUUUUCAGUAAUUCCUCUCCCGGACUUGUAUCACGUGGCUUUCACCACAUCAGGGGCCCUGUUCACCGAUUAUUUACUCAAGAUUCCCUAUCGAUCCACAGCAACGUGGAAUAACACACUCAGAUAAAAUUAGCACUUCAGGGAAGAAACUGUAACGGUCUUGCUCUGGCACUGGUAGACUGUUAAUAUAAUAAACUGAAUUCCUGGAACCAAAAAUAAACUUUUCUGUGAAGAAUGUGUACUUGGAAUAAGGCGUACCAAUACCUAGAGUGCAUGUUUUUCCUCGGAGAGGGUGAGACUUGCUGGCACUGUGCAAUGGAGGACAAGAGAAACGCUGUUUGCCCUACAUCAUUAUUUCUUGCAAAUACUACUUUAUAACAAAGGCAAGAGAAGUAAAUGUCUACCCACUAUUCUGUAUACCUGAAAUAAAUAUAGUAUUGAAUGUCAACUGUAAUUGAAAAAAAAUUUUAAGGUAAUAGUUAAAGAAAGGGAAUAAAAUUGCCUAUAAUCCUACCUACAGACAACAGCCCUAGCUUACAUUAUUAUUAUUAUUUAAUGUUUCCUUCUAGUGUUUUUUUCAGGCAGUUGUGAUUUUUGAGUAAAUGCAAACUUAAAUGGUAUGUUUCCCUAAUUGCUGCUUCAUAAUUGUCAACAGAUUAUUGUGAAUCCAUUAAAAUAACUAUUGUGAAGA